rnacentral:rRNA from 1 species
CCUACGGGAGGCAGCAGUGAGGAAUAUUGGUCAAUGGGCGAGAGCCUGAACCAGCCAAGUCGCGUGAAGGAUGAAGGAUCUAUGGUUUGUAAACUUCUUUUAUAUGGGAAUAAAGUGAGGAACGUGUUCCUUUUUGUAUGUACCAUAUGAAUAAGCAUCGGCUAACUCCGUGCCAGCAGCCGCGGUAAUACGGAGGAUGCGAGCGUUAUCCGGAUUUAUUGGGUUUAAAGGGUGCGUAGGUGGUUAAUUAAGUCAGCGGUGAAAGUUUGUGGCUCAACCAUAAAAUUGCCGUUGAAACUGGUUGGCUUGAGUGUGGGAGAGGUUAGUGGAACUCCUAGUGUAGCGGUGGAAUGCGUAGAUAUUAGGAAGAACAUCAGAGGCGAAGGCGACUAACUGGAACAUUACUGACACUGAAACACGAAAGCGUGGGGAGCAAACAGGAUUAGAUACCCGAGUAGUC